AGGGGCGGUGCCAGACGCCCUGAAGGAGGGCCGGGCUGACUGCGGGCUGUGGUUGCCGCCCGCGAGGGAGGGGUUGGGCGGAGGAGGCCGGGCUCAACUUUGACAGGAGCGAGCGAGGGAGGGAAGGAAGGCAGGAAGGCGCCGCUGCCGGGGCUGCGUUCGCUGUGCGCAGGUAGUUGUGAUGGUGCAUGAUGCAAAGCAGUGAUCUUCAGGAAGCAAGCAAGAUAUCAUCAUAUCAUCCAUACUGCUUGCAAUUAACCCAUCUCAUCCUGAACAAGGAAACUAUGAAUAUUACAUUGAAAAGUUAAAGCACUAAGAAAGAUCAUUACUGGAAACUGUUGCUUCAGGGAAAGAACCAUGUGGGUGAACAGUUUAUUUCUUGUCAGCAAUAAU
rnacentral:lncRNA from 1 species